GGGGAGAUCUGAGAGGGUUGAGGUGGUCUUUUGGGGGAAUUUAAAGGGUUUGGGGGGCUUUGGGGGAGAUUUGGAGGGGUUGGGGGUCUUUGGAGAGGGUUGGGGUGGUAUUUUGGGGGGAAUUUAAAGGGUUUGGGGGUCUUUGGGGGAGAAUUGAGGUUUUUGGGGAGUCUUUGGGGGAAUUUGAGGGGUUUGGGGGAGGUCUGGAAAGAUUGGGGUGGUCUUUUUGGGGGGAUCUCAAGGGUUUGGGGCAAUACUGGGAUACAUUUGCUGGCUACUGGGCUAUACUGGGAGGCACUGGGACACGCUGCAGGGGCACUGGGAUAUACUGGGAGGUACCGAGGGGAUGCCAGUGAGCUCUGAAGGGGCACUGGGAGGCCCUGAAGGGCAACUGGGCCAUACUGGGAAGCCUUGAGGAGGUACUGGGAACCCUUGAAGAGCUACUGGGCCAUACUGGGAAGCCUUGAGGAGCUACUGGGCCAUACUGGGAGCAACUGGGAUGCCCUGAAGCAGCUCCAAAAAGCCAUGAAUGGAUCCCAGCAAGUUCUUAAGAUCAACUGGGCCAUACUGGGAGACCUUGAGGAGCUAUGGGGCGGUACUGGGCAGCCUCAAGGAGCUACUGGGACAUACUGGGAAGCCUUGAGGGGCUACUGGGCCAUACUGGGACACAAUGGGAUGCCCUGAAACACCUCCAAAAAGCAACGAGUGGAUUUUGGGAAGCCCUAAAAGCCAACUGGGCCAUACUGGGAGACGUUGAGGAGCUACCAGGUGGUACUGGGAAGCCUCAAGGAGCUACUGGGCCAUACUGGGAAGCCUCGAGGGGCUACUGGGAGGCACUGGGAUACCCUAAAACACCUCCAAAAAGCAACGAAUGGAUUUUGGGAAGCCCUAAAAGCCAACUGGGCCAUACUGGGAGACCUUGAGGAGCUACGGGGCGGUCUUGGGCAGCCUGGAGGACCUAACUGGGCCGUACUGGGAGGCACUGGGAAGCCUCCCGCUCACCUUCUUGGUCUCCUUGUUCCUCUUGAGGGCCCAGCCGCCCUCGGGCAGCUUCUCGAAAUAUUUUCGGGCUUUGGGGGCCUGCUCCAGCAUGUGGGGGGGGGGCAGCCCCAGCACCUCCACGAUGCGGUUCAUCUGGUCGGCCUGGGGACAAGGAGGGGACGCGGCUGUCCCCAAGGGCCCCCCCUCCUUCGUGUCCACCCCCCCCGGAAAUUUUGGGACCACCCCAAGGUGUCCCCGAAGCUGUCCAGGGUGGGGGGACGUCUUUGGGGUCAUUGAGCUCAUCCUGAUCCUAUUGGGGUGUCCCCAAGCCCCCCUUGACCCUUUUAGGGACAUUUUUGGGGUCCCCAAGCCCCCCCCGACCCUUUUAGGGACAUCUUUGG
rnacentral:lncRNA from 1 species